rnacentral:rRNA from 1 species
GUGAGGAAUAUUGGACAAUGGAUGGAAAUCUGAUCCAGCCAUGCCGCGUGCAGGAAGGCGGCCCUAUGGGUUGUAAACUGCUUUUGUACGGGAGCAAUAAGGUCUACGAGUAGAUUGAUGAGAGUACUGUACGAAUAAGCAUCGGCUAACUCCGUGCCAGCAGCCGCGGUAAUACGGAGGAUGCGAGCGUUAUCCGGAUUUAUUGGGUUUAAAGGGUGCGUAGGCUGUUAUGUAAGUCAGUGGUAAAAGGUACAGGCUUAACUUGUAUAUGCCAUUGAAACUGUAUAGCUAGGAUAUGGAUGAAGUGUGCGGAAUGUGUGGUGUAGCGGUGAAAUGCAUAGAUAUCACACAGAACACCGAUAGCGAAGGCAGCACACUAAGGCAAUAUUGACGCUGAGGCACGAAAGUGUGGGGAUCAAACAGGAUUAGAAACCCUUGUAGUCC